GAUGAAGAACGUAGCGAAAUGCGAUAAGUAAUGUGAAUUGCAGAAUUCAGUGAAUCAUCGAAUCUUUGAACGCACAUUGCGCCCGCUAGUAUUCUGGCGGGCAUGCCUGUCCGAGCGUCAUUUCAACCCUCAAGCCCCCGGGCUUGGUGUUGGGGAUCGGCGAGCCUCCGCGCCCGCCGUCCCCUAAAUCUAGUGGCGGUCUCGCUGUAGCUUCCUCUGCGUAGUAGCACACCUCGCACUGGGAAACAGCGCGGCCACGCCGUAAAACACCCAACUCUUCUGAAGUUGACCUCGAAUCAGGUAGGAAUACCCGCUGAACUUAAGCAUAUCAAUAAGCGGAGGA
rnacentral:misc_RNA from 1 species